UUUUUUGUGCUUCGACCUUUUGUCUUUCGACCUUCUGUCCUUUCGACCUUUUGUCAUAGAUUCAACCGUGACUGCCGGAAGGUUAAUUAGAGUAUACUUCCAAAAAAUCAUAGCAAGAUGCAACAUCAACGAUUUUUAAAUAUUUCGAGGAAGCCAAAGCCAAACGGACUAGAACUCCAAAGUUUAUGUCUUUCUGUUAGAGUGCGACAUGUCAAGCAAUCCCCUAACGCAAUUUGAAUUGUAUCAACCAUUAUAGUAGGCUAUGCUUUUUUGAAUUUUACUGCCUCAUGAAUAAACUCAUUCUUUUUCGUUUCAACCUUCAAGCAAAGUAGUUCGUUCUUUGGCUCACUCCCAUUUUCCAAUACUUUCAAAUCUGCAAGCUGUAUUUAUACAAAAAUAAAAUCCUAAACAAAAGUAUAAAUAUAGGAAUGAAGGAAGAUGUUCAAAAUUUUCUGCACAUCCACCAUAAACAAAAUGUAACUCUUCAUUGUAAAAUGUAAAUUAGGGUCUUUCGCGUCAUGAUAUGAUAAAUCCGCGAUUUUCGCGACAGUAUUUCAUGCACUCGCGAUUUUCGCGACUGGCGGAUAAAUCUGCGAGAAUCGCGAAAUACGCGACUGUUGCAACAGCCCUGUAAUUCAUACAUUUUCUUGAUUUUACUAUAGGGUAAAUACUGAAACUACUAUUCUAUCGAACAAAUCUGCAAUUCUACCGGGAAAUUCGAUAUUUCUAUAUUCUACUGCUCUAUUUUCCAUUUGUGCUAGAUUUUGAUUUUUUUUUUUAAUAAUAUUUUCAUCGUUUUGUUUAAAUAUUUAUUUAAAUAAUUUUGACUCAAA